UCUUGUUGAAAACUUCUACCUCUUAUUAGAGUGUACCCUGCUCCUCAGGUUCUAGCCGGCUCUGGGCCCUUCCUCACCACCGUUCUGGGGCCUUGCUCAGCCUCUAAAAGCGCACCGCUGCACGCAAAAUGACCACAAAAAUAGAGACCUGAAAACAAGUUUCAAAACGUUAAGUAAAAGCGAGGGAAGGAAAUCCCCCGAUUUGGACAAGUCUUCCAUAAGCAAAACAGAGGAAAGGGAGGCUAUCUGGCGAUAAUUCCGGCCAAGAGUAUUUGGGCAUUUUCCCAGAAUUACCCAAGUAAUCCCGUGAAAAGCGAAUCUAUGUAGGCUACAUUAUGCACAAACUGCCUAAACCGUGAGUUUUAAUCAAAAGUUACCUGACUCUGGAAAGCGUUAAAGGCAAAGACACCACAAGCAUCAUAGAUUCGACUAGCCCCUGGCCCCUUCCCUAAGCAUCUCCCUCCAGGGUCUUGCAGUAAGAAACCACAACCAAGCAGACAGUGAAUUCAACACUCCCCCUGGGCUCUUCUGCUCUGCCUCGGGACCUGAGACGCCCACUCAGGAGAACGCCCCAUUUCCUGCACCCUUCCAGCUCAAGAAAAAAAAAACCCUAGGAGCAUUCUGAGGGGGCGUGGUGAGGACGAGUCCCAGUACGCCGUCCAGAACCACCUUUUCUCCACCGCAGAGGUUCCGGGAGCCCCCCGGUCCUGUAUCUGCACACCUUACAACGCCCCGCCCCCGACACUCGGACGCAGGUGGCCCCAGGACAAGGAUGUCAGAACUUCCCUGGGUCCCGGAAAGGACGGAAGUGAGGAGGAGUGUCCCAACCCGCGAGCCUUCCCCUCGCCGCCGGAGCCGCCGCCAGGAAGAAAGGUCUCCGCCGAGGACAGCCCGGAAGAGGGAGGGUCUCGCACUGCACACCUUGGACGCGUUUGGAAUUCGACCCUGCCUGCCCUGGGAGAAUUCGGGAUGAGAAGGAAAGGCUCUCCCUGGACGCUGUCGCUUUCCCCGAAACGAGUCCUCAAGGCCGUUCCCUGCGCUCUUUCCCUGGGACUUGGCGCGCCGCAGCCGCUCUGGGAACCUCGCAAGGCCCUCCGGGGACCCGGGAAGAGGGGCGGUGAUUAAGGAACUCUACCCCACACAGUGCGCAGAUCUGAACGUAACGGUUUGUUGUCAGCGGAGACCCAUCCUCUGGGUACGAAGAGAUUAUCCCAAGGAGUUACUGUUUUGCAACCUGAGACUGGGGAAAGAGGACUUUGCUGGAGAGCGGCGGGGAUCCACGACAGCUGGGUUGGGACGCAGUCUACCAAGAGCCAGCGUUACCCAUAAGGAGCCCAAGAAAAUGGGUUCCGUGAAUCUGACUUCACUUGUCUUCUUGUGUCAGUGGUUUUCUGAGGCAAGCCAGAGCUCUCCCUUGUCCAGUGUGGGCCGUGUUCUUAUGAAUUAGACUUGAGGCUGUCAGGCUUUCUCUGUAACAGAAAACAAACUUUGUGCCCCCUUGGAGUUCUUUGCCAUUGGGACCCAGGUUCAUUUCUUCCUGAAAACCUGGCGCCCCAGAGCCAGUCUCCCAAAG